rnacentral:misc_RNA from 1 species
GGGAAAAAAACUAAUCAUUUUGAGCAAUUGGGUUGACUUAUGACUACUUGUCCUCGUUCAGAGACCAUGUAAAACAUAAACAACAAGUUUCACCAUAUCAUAUCAACCCCAACAUCACACGUUAAAUAAAAUAUAUAUAUAUAUAAAACCCAUAUUAAAUGAUCACCAUCAUCACGCGGUAUACACAAUCACAAAGCAAGGAAGC